rnacentral:rRNA from 1 species
AUUGAACGCUGGCGGCAGGCCUAACACAUGCAAGUCGAACGGUAACAGGAAGCAGCUUGCUGCUUUGCUGACGAGUGGCGGACGGGUGAGUAAUGUCUGGGAAACUGCCCGAUGGAGGGGGAUAACUACUGGAAACGGUAGCUAAUACCGCAUAACGUCGCAAGACCAAAGAGGGGGACCUUCGGGCCUCUUGCCAUCGGAUGUGCCCAGAUGGGAUUAGCUUGUUGGUGAGGUAACGGCUCACCAAGGCGACGAUCCCUAGCUGGUCUGAGAGGAUGACCAGCCACACUGGAACUGAGACACGGUCCAGACUCCUACGGGAGGCAGCAGUGGGGAAUAUUGCACAAUGGGCGCAAGCCUGAUGCAGCCAUGCCGCGUGUAUGGAGAAGGCCUUCGGGUUGUAAAGUACUUUCAGCGGGGAGGAAGGGGGUAAGGUUAAUAACCUUAGCCAUUGACGUUACCCGCAGAAGAAGCACCGGCUAACUCCGUGCCAGCAGCCGCGGUAAUACGGAGGGUGCAAGCGUUAAUCGGAAUUACUGGGCGUAAAGCGCACGCAGGCGGUCUGUCAAGUCGGAUGUGAAAUCCCCGGGCUCAACCUGGGAACUGCAUUCGAAACUGGCAGGCUUGAGUCUCGUAGAGGGGGGUAGAAUUCCAGGUGUAGCGGUGAAAUGCGUAGAGAUCUGGAGGAAUACCGGUGGCGAAGGCGGCCCCCUGGACGAAGACUGACGCUCAGGUGCGAAAGCGUGGGGAGCAAACAGGAUUAGAUACCCUGGUAGUCCACGCCGUAAACGAUGUCUAUUUGGAGGUUGUGCCCUUGAGGCGUGGCUUCCGGAGCUAACGCGUUAAAUAGACCGCCUGGGGAGUACGGCCGCAAGGUUAAAACUCAAAUGAAUUGACGGGGCCCGCACAAGCGGUGGAGCAUGUGGUUUAAUUCGAUGCAACGCGAAGAACCUUACCUGGUCUUGACAUCCACAGAAUUUCUCAGAGAUGAGGAAGUGCCUUCGGGAACUGUGAGACAGGUGCUGCAUGGCUGUCGUCAGCUCGUGUUGUGAAAUGUUGGGUUAAGUCCCGCAACGAGCGCAACCCUUAUCCUUUGUUGCCAGCGAUUCGGUCGGGAACUCAAAGGAGACUGCCAGUGAUAAACUGGAGGAAGGUGGGGAUGACGUCAAGUCAUCAUGGCCCUUACGACCAGGGCUACACACGUGCUACAAUGGCAUAUACAAAGAGAAGCGACCUCGCGAGAGCAAGCGGACCUCAUAAAGUAUGUCGUAGUCCGGAUUGGAGUCUGCAACUCGACUCCAUGAAGUCGGAAUCGCUAGUAAUCGUGGAUCAGAAUGCCACGGUGAAUACGUUCCCGGGCCUUGUACACACCGCCCGUCACACCAUGGGAGUGGGUUGCAAAAGAAGUAGGUAGCUUAACCUUCGGGAGGGCGCUUACCACUUUGUGAUUCAUGACUGGGGUGA